UUCAAUGGUUUAAAAAAAAAAAGGCAAGAGGUUCUGAACAGACACUUUUCCCAAGUAAACAUACAAAUGGCCAACAGAUAUAUGAAAAGAUGCUCAACUUCAAUAGCUAAUACUAAAAU